rnacentral:lncRNA from 1 species
AAAAAGGAAGGUGGGCUUUGAGUGAAGGGUGCUCCCGUUUCCUCCUCGGUGGGAAAGCAGGUGAUAAUAAAACUUAUCACCCACUCAUCUCAGGGGAGUGCUGCGGAGAGCAACCAAUAUACAUACAGAAAUAAGUGUAAGGCACUCGGCGAGAACAAAGUGUGCUAGAAAUGCUAAACAAUAAUAAAUUCAGCCACCUCCUUCCCCACGAUAGUAAACAAUGUGUCUUUUUUUAAAAGCAGAUGUGGUUAACCAGAUGCUAACUUUGAGGCUGUCUAUAUAACCUCUAACAACAGGUGAUUAAACCUAAACUCUUGAUUUUCAAGCAUUCCUUCAUUAGAGAGUCUCCGAGUGACCCUGAUACCUCCAUCAAACCACGGCCUGGACUAGAAAGCAAUUAAUCAACAUGAAAAUUACUUUAUCAACCCGCCUCCAAUUCUUAGUAUCAAUGUGUGACUAAUAUCAGCAUCCAAACU